rnacentral:tRNA from 1 species
GCGAGGGUUUCCGAGCUAGGUCAAAGGAGCUAGGUUGAGGGCCUAGUCGCGUAGGCGUUCGAGUGUUCGAAUCACUCCCCUCGCA